rnacentral:rRNA from 1 species
AUUGAACGCUGGCGGCAGGCCUAACACAUGCAAGUCGAGCGGAUGACGGGAGCUUGCUCCUUGAUUCAGCGGCGGACGGGUGAGUAAUGCCUAGGAAUCUGCCUGGUAGUGGGGGACAACGUUUCGAAAGGAACGCUAAUACCGCAUACGUCCUACGAGAGAAAGCAGGGGACCUUCGGGCCUUGUGCUAUCAGAUGAGCCUAGGUCGGAUUAGCUAGUUGGUGGGGUAAUGGCUCACCAAGGCGACGACCCGUAACUGGUCUGAGAGGAUGAUCAGUCACACUGGAACUGAGACACGGUCCAGACUCCUACGGGAGGCAGCAGUGGGGAAUAUUGGACAAUGGGCGAAAGCCUGAUCCAGCCAUGCCGCGUGUGUGAAGAAGGUCUUCGGAUUGUAAAGCACUUUAAGUUGGGAGGAAGGGCAGUAAGCUAAUACCUUGCUGUUUUGACGUUACCGACAGAAUAAGCACCGGCUAACUCUGUGCCAGCCGCCGCAGUAAGAC